rnacentral:rRNA from 1 species
UGGAAUUCGCCCUUCGCCUGUUUAUCAAAAACAUCUCUUCUUGUUUUUUGAUUUGAAGUAUGACCUGCCCACUGAUGAUAUUGAAGGGCCGCGGUAUUUUGACCGUGCAAAGGUAGCAUAAUCAUUAGUUCUUUAAUUGUGAGCUGGUAUGAAUGGUUUGACGAGGUGCUAGCUGUCUUUAGUUUGGAUUUAUUGAAUUUGAUGUUUGGGUAAAAAUGCCUAGAUUUUUUUAUGGGACGAGAAGACCCUAUAGAGUUUUAUAUAAUAUGUUCUUUUUAGUUUGUUGUGUUUUGUGGGCUGUUUAUGUUUUGUUGGGGUGAUGGGAAGAUAGGUGUAACUCUUCUUUUUUAAUUUCACUUAUUUGUGUUUUUAUGAUCCUUUAUUAUUGAUUACAAGAUCAAACUACCUUAGGGAUAACAGCGUAA